rnacentral:rRNA from 1 species
GACGAACGCUGGCGGCGUGCUUAAUACAUGCAAGUCGAACGGAAAGGCGCUGCUCUUGUGGUGUUCUUGAGUGGCGAACGCGUGUGUAACACGUGUGUAACCCGCCCUUGUCUUUGGGAUAACUUUAGGAAACUGGGGCUAAUAUACGAUAGGAUAUCCUGCUGCAUGGGGGUGGUUGGAAAGUUUCGGCGGUUCGGGAUGGUCUCGCUGGUUAUCAGCUUGUUGGUGAGGUAGUUGCUUACCAAGGGUUUGACGGGUAGCCUGCCUGAGAGCGUGACCGGCGACAUUGGGACUAAGAUACGGCCCAGAAGCCUACGGGAGGCAGCAGUCGGAAAUAUUGCGCAAUGGGCGAAAGCCUGAUGCAGCAACCCCGCGUGCGGGAUGACGGCCUUCGGGUUGUAAACCGCUUUCGCCUGUAACGAAGCGUGAGUGACGGUAAUGAGUAAAAAAGCACCGGCUAACUACGUG